rnacentral:rRNA from 5 species
UAACGACUCUCGGCAACGGAUAUCUCGGCUCUCGCAUCGAUGAAGAACGUAGCGAACUGCGAUACUUGGUGUGAAUUGCAGAAUCCCGUGAACCAUCGAGUCUUUGAACGCAAGUUGCGCCCGAAGCUUUUGGUCGAGGGCACGUUUGCCUGGGUGUCA